UGGGGAAUAUUGGACAAUGGGGGCAACCCUGAUCCAGCAAUGCCGCGUGAGUGAAGAAGGCCUUAGGGUUGUAAAGCUCUUUCACCGGGGAAGAUGAUGACGGUACCCGGAGAAGAAGCCCCGGCUAACUCCGUGCCAGCAGCCGCGGUAAGACGGAGGGGGCUAGCGUUGUUCGGAAUUACUGGGCGUAAAGCGCGCGUAGGCGGUUUGGUGAGUUGGAGGUGAAAGCCCGGAGCUUAACUUCGGAAUUGCCUUCAAGACUGCCGGACUUGAGGCAGGGAGAGGAGAGUGGAAUACCCAGUGUAGAGGUGAAAUUCGUAGAUAUUGGGUGGAACACCGGUGGCGAAGGCGGCUCUCUGGCCCUGACCUGACGCUAAGGUGCGAAAGCGUGGGGAGCAAACAGGAUUAGAUACCCCCGUAGUCC
rnacentral:rRNA from 1 species